UAUUGCUUUGAUAGCUUUGAGUAAUAAUUACAAAAAACAAAGUAGGAAGAGUUUGUUUUGUAACUUCUGACCAAAGAAGAGAAAGAAGGAUUGAAGAAGGAAGGAAAGAGAGUGAAGACGGGAUUGAGCAACAAAGUGCGAGUCUUUGUUCCGAGGACCAGGGCUUUGAAAUGUAAUUUUACUUUCUGAGGACCAAAGCCAUUGUGCAGGCACACGGCUUGGACACUGAACCCUGACACUCCCUGCCACCCACCCGGGUUACCGUGCACAGUGUAGACUCCAGGUUGCCGGUACCGCACUGCUCCUUGUUUCCGCCGGCAGGCCUCAUGGUUCCCGGGGUCUCUUGCCUAAGCAAAUAGAUGAAUUGUUACAGGAACGUCCCAGCACUCCUAGGUUGCUAAGUCAUGAUCCCUGCCCACGAAGAACCAGCCCAAUGCCCAAACGGAAAGAACCACCGAAGCCAAACGUCCGCCUCCCCACGACUUCCAUCCCUGCCUUCCUGCUCCGAGGUACCGGCUCCGCUCUGUGGAGGUCCGUCCUCCUUGCCACGGCACGAGUAGGCUCGGCUUACCCUUGUGGACUGGCCGCGACGGUGAUACCCGGGCGGCCAGUGCUCCACUGUCUGUUGUACCUCUUUGUUUUGUGAUGUUUGGGUUUUCCACUGCCGCCGUAUAAUCUUUUCUCCAGAAAGCCUCAUUGGAGCCACGCAGGGCUCUGUCUGCGUUUUCUGUGACCUGAGGCAACUCGGUGUGGAGCAGGGACAACACGUGCAGGACAGUAAAUCACCCUAAAUCAGGCUGACUGAGCAGAAGCGGCAGCUUGGAAGCAGAGCCAUCACGGACAAAGGCUCUCCCCUUGACCAGACCUCAGCCAGGCCCUCCCAGCCCUCUGCAGCCGGCGUCCCCGCCUCGUCAGUUUUAACAAGGGCCAGAAUAGUGUCUUCUGUAACACCGCAAAGAGCCCACGAGGAGCCAUCACCCGACUCCCGUGGAGAAGCCCAGACGUCCCGCACGUUGCGGGCUAAGGGAUGGAUGCAUCUCCUCUGAAGUAGGGUGAAUGUGGCUAAUACCUGGAGAGCACAGGGCGAGGCCCCCACUGAGCGUGAUCUUUACUCCCAUCCCGGGGGUCGGCAGGAGUCAGCAGCGUGCGGCUGGGUGGCAACAAAGGCCGUUCCCGGGCAUUUCCAUCAGUUGAGAAAAGUUAGUUACACGACACGACAGAAACUCUACUGCGUGAACUCUAAAUCCAACUAGUGGAAGGCAAGGGGGAAAGGCAUACGAAAAAACCUUUUCUUGUCUUGAGAGAAAAAUACGGAAACACAGAUUAUUGCUUUUAAGUGGGUUUGAGAGAUAACCUGGCGUAAUUCCCUCAUCCUCCUUUAGCUGAGGCCCAGGGAGCAAGUUGAGUAGCCGACGGUGGUGUCCGGGCUAGAGCAACAUCCGGCCUCAAAUCCUGUUAUCUUUCUACCACACUCACUACCUCCCUAUUAGUUUUUCUAGACAAUUUCUUAUGAAUUAUUCUCUCAAGAAUGAAGAAGACUGAGUUGCUUAAAGAUAAGGCCUAAUCCUUACAGUUGUUUACAUGAACUCCGAUGCCUGGCACCGUGCGGAGCUCGUAAAUCAUCUCCGCAAAGGUUCAGGAAAUUGAUUUUCCGUCCUGCCAGCCACCUGCACGUGCACGGACUCUGAUAGAUCCAGGGUAGGUGGCAAGGCCCACGGCAGGGGGUAUUAGUGAAUUAUGGUUGCCUGUUUCUGACCGUGUCACUCAUCCCUUUAAAAAGAAAGAAAAAUGGAAUGAGAUUCACGAUGAGGUGACUCUGUACAAUAUUCUUGUCAUUCAGGACACACGAAAUCAAAGGGAAAGAGAAACUAAAGCGCACAGGGUACAGGUUGCUGUUCCAGAAUUCUCCGAGUUCUCUGCCCGACGAAUGCAGCUUCUGAGGAGAGGAGAGGAAAAAAAAAAAAAAAAAAAAAAGGAGAGGAGAGGACGGGCGCCCCCAGGCCUCAGCGGCCAAGGAGAACGGGCCGAUCAGCUCCCCGCUCUUGAAAACCCGAACUAGGGGAGAAGCCAUCUGCCAACUGCUUGUGAGUGCAAGGAGCAGCGAGAGGGCACACUGGGAAACACGAGCAAGGGGCGCGGGUGGGGGUAGGGCCAAACCACACGCAAGCCGCAGCGGGAGGAGCCGAACGACAGCCAAGCAGAGGACGCGGGGUCAGCAGAGAGGAGGAUGGACGGGAGCCCAGAGAGCAGCGACGUGGCACCGCGGCCACCGCCCUGCACCUGGUGUGGAAAGCAGGUGCAGCUUGUUUAGCAGGUUGCCUUCAUUUUAAUGGAUCUUCAGGGAACUUUCCAUUUCGCCCAACACACCUUCACAACAGUUCCUCGCUUUACUUGGACUAGCUCAAGUCAUAUUAUUAUUAUUAUUAUUAUUAUUAUUAUUUUUGCAACAAACAAAUCUAGGUGAGACAAGGGCUAAGGACACACUCCGUUAGGCCUUUCAAGGCACUGUCUUUUUUAACCCUCUUAACACACUUGCAAGUUGGGUACAAUUACCCCCAACUUAGAAUAUGAAGACAAAGCUAAAUUAGGAAAUUUGUUGAUUUGUUGAGAUUCACCUAGCUACUGUGAGUCCCAGAGCUGAAAAUCAAGCCCAAGACUGCCUGGCCAAAGAUUUUUUUUUUUUUUUUUUUUUUUUUUACCACUUUUCUUUUUAAAAAUAAGACAGAAAACAAAAUAAGUCUUAAAA